GCAGGGGUACCCAAGCGGUCAACGGGGCUGGGUUUAGGGCCCAGUGGCUUAGCGUCUUCGUCGGUUCGAAUCCGGCCCCCUGCA
rnacentral:tRNA from 1 species